CGUGCCAGCAGCCGCGGUAAUACGAAGGGGGCUAGCGUUGCUCGGAAUUACUGGGCGUAAAGGGCGCGUAGGCGGACAGUUCAGUCGGGGGUGAAAGCCCGGGGCUCAACCUCGGAAUUGCCUUCGAUACUGGCUGUCUUGAGUAUGAGAGAGGUGUGUGGAACUCCGAGUGUAGAGGUGAAAUUCGUAGAUAUUCGGAGGAACACCAGUGGCGAAGGCGACACACUGGCUCAUUACUGACGCUGAGGCGCGAAAGCGUGGGGAGCAAACAGGAUUAGAUACCCUNGUAGUCCACGCCGUAAACGAUGA
rnacentral:rRNA from 1 species